UGGGGAAUUUUGGACAAUGGGCGAAAGCCUGAUCCAGCAAUGCCGCGUGUGUGAAGAAGGCCUUCGGGUUGUAAAGCACUUUUGUCCGGAAAGAAAUCCUUGGCUCUAAUACAGUCGGGGGAUGACGGUACCGGAAGAAUAAGCACCGGCUAACUACGUGCCAGCAGCCGCGGUAAUACGUAGGGUGCAAGCGUUAAUCGGAAUUACUGGGCGUAAAGCGUGCGCAGGCGGUUUGCUAAGACCGAUGUGAAAUCCCCGGGCUCAACCUGGGAACUGCAUUGGUGACUGGCAGGCUAGAGUAUGGCAGAGGGGGGUAGAAUUCCACGUGUAGCAGUGAAAUGCGUAGAGAUGUGGAGGAAUACCGAUGGCGAAGGCAGUCCCCUGGGCCAAUACUGACGCUCAUGCACGAAAGCGUGGGGAGCAAACAGGAUUAGAUACCCUGGUAGUCCACGCCCUAAACGAUGUCAACUAGUUGUUGGGGAUUCAUUUCCUUAGUAACGUAGCUAACGCGUGAAGUUGACCGCCUGGGGAGUACGGUCGCAAGAUUAAAACUUAAAGGAAUUGACGGGGUCAUA
rnacentral:rRNA from 1 species